rnacentral:rRNA from 1 species
GAUGAACGCUGGCGGCGUGCCUAAUACAUGCAAGUCGAGCGAACGGACGAGAAGCUUGCUUCUCUGAUGUUAGUGGCGGACGGGUGAGCAACACGUGGAUAACCUACCUAUAAGACUGGGAUAACUUCGGGAAACCGGAGCUAAUACCGGAUGAUAUUUUGAACCGCAUGGUUCAAAAGUGAAAGACGGUCUUGCUGUCACUUAUAGAUGGAUCCGCGCUGCAUUAGCUAGUUGGUAAGGUAACGGCUUACCAAGGCAACGAUGCAUAGCCGACCUGAGAGGGUGAUCGGCCACACUGGAACUGAGACACGGUCCAGACUCCUACGGGAGGCAGCAGUAGGGAAUCUUCCGCAAUGGGCGAAAGCCUGACGGAGCAACGCCGCGUGAGUGAUGAAGGUCUUCGGAUCGUAAAACUCUGUUAUUAGGGAAGAACAUAUGUGUAAGUAACUGUGCACAUCUUGACGGUACCUAAUCAGAAAGCCACGGCUAACUACGUG